rnacentral:rRNA from 1 species
GUGGGGAAUCUUCCGCAAUGGACGAAAGUCUGACGGAGCGACGCCGCGUGAGUGAAGAAGGCCUUCGGGUCGUAAAGCUCUGUCAUCAGGGACGAACGGCCGGUGGAGUGGAAAGCCACCGGAUUGACGGUACCUGAGAAGGAAGCCACGGCUAACUACGUGCCAGCAGCCGCGGUAAUACGUAGGUGGCAAGCGUUGUCCGGAAUUAGUGGGCGUAAAGCGCGCGCAGGUGGGAUCUUAAGUCCAUUUUGAAAGUUCGGAGCUCAACUCCGUGAUGGGAUGGAAACUGGGAUUCUUGAGUACCGGAGAGGAAAGCGGAAUUCCCCGUGUAGCGGUGAAAUGCGUAGAUAUGGGGAGGAACACCAGUGGCGAAGGCGGCUUUCUGGACGGUGUCUGACACUGAGGCGCGAAAGCUAGGGGAGCGAACGGGAUUAGAAACCCGAGUAGUCC